CUGCAGGCUGAGCAAAUGGGCCUACGGUGGAGCCGAUGAUGUCCCCUAUAAGGCCUGGUGAAAGAACUGGUCCAGAUGGUGUAACUUCCCACUCAAGAAGAUGAGGAGAGGAAAAGUGUUCAGCGAGAAAAAGGAGUACACAGGACAUCAUAGCAUGGCCUUGGUAACUGAAGCUGUUUCCUUGCCCCUCCCCACUGCUGAUGGGAUCCUUUAAGCUGGGACUUUGGCCCUAAAACUCCAGAAACAGAUCUUCUAUCUCCUCCAGCUUUGGUGCUGCUUCCACAGGAUGGAGCCACCUCCCAGGAGCAGAGGAUGCCACUUCUGUUUCAGAGCAAAGGUUAAUAACGCAAGAGAAAAUCACCAACGUACACAACUCUGAUGUUGUGGCUUUGCCUUUAUUAAAAAUGGGAACAAGCCAAGGAGAGUCCUGAUGAAAGCUGAGAUAAUUAAUGUGGUUGGAAAGAGGCAAGAAUCCAAGUAGAUCCAGAUACAAAAGCAAAGUUAAUGGCCUGAGCUAAAAUGCUAACGCCAGUGAGUUAGGGGCCAGCCAGCAUUAUACAAAUUUCCAGAGUGGUUUAGUGAAUCAGUAGAGCCUGCUGCCUCCCCUGCAUUGUAUAGAGCUGAUUGUACAGGGCUCAAACAGCUGACACGGGGAGCUUUCAGCAAGCUGGUUUUAGAAAAGGACAUCGUUUUGGAGGGGAGGUGAAUGUGGUAGCCAGCUUUUCCAGGCCCCUUUGCUGCUGCUGUUGUUUUUGAGAUCCACAUUUGAGAUCACAGAUGGAUGUGCUAUCGAUACAGGCUGAAACUCUGUCUGGCCAGAGACAGUCAACGGUGGAGGGGUAGUUAGGGUGGGAGGAAACAGCAAACAAUCCCGAUUUUCAGCUCAAAGAAGUUUCAGGAACCAGAUCCAGAGAUGAAACCCUGGAGAGGGAAAGGAGAGAGGCAGAGCUGGAAGAAAACUAUUGCAGCCCCUUGCUUGGGACCUGAGGCCUGAGGCAGCCUGGCACAAGGAGCAAUAUUUUCAUGGGUCCCUACCAGUGCACAGAUUCC
rnacentral:lncRNA from 1 species